rnacentral:rRNA from 1 species
CACCGGCACCCCGAGUGGUAGCCACUAUUAUUGGGCCUAAAGCGUUCGUAGCCGGUUUGGUAAAUUCUUGGGUAAAUCGUACCGCUUAACGGUGCGGAUUCCGGGGACACUACCAGACUUGAGACUGGGGGAGAUCAGAGGUACUUGCGGGGGAGCGGUGAAAUGUUGUAAUCCCGCAGGGACCACCAGUGGCGAAGGCGUCUGAUCAGAACGGUUCUGACGGUGAGGAACGAAACCCUGGGGCGCAAACGGGAUUAGAUACCCCGGUAGUCCAGGGCGUAAACGCUGCUGACUUGGUGUUGGAGAUCCUACGAGGGUGUCCAGUGCUGGCGCGAAGGUAUUAAGUCAGCCGCCUGGGGAGUACGGUCGCAAGACUGAAACUUAAAGGAAUUGGCGGGGGAGCACUGCAACGUGUGGAGCGUGCGGUUUAAUUGGAUUCAACGCCGGAAAACUCACCGGGGGCGACGGUUACAUGAAGGCCAAGCUGAUGACUUUGCCUGAUUUUCCGAGAGGUGGUGCAUGGCCGCCGUCAGUUCGUACCGUAAGGCGUUCUGUUAAGUCAGAUAACGAACGAGACCUCCGUCACCAUUUGCUAUUUUCUUCUCCGGAAGGGAAGCACUAUGGUGGUACCGCCGCUGUUAAAGCGGAGGAAGGAGGGGGCAACGGUAGGUCAGUAUGCCCCGAAUCUCCCGGGCUACACGCGCGCUACAAAGGUUGGGACAAUGGGCUUCGACACCGAAAGGUGAAGGUAAUCCCGAAACCUAAUCGUAAUUCGGAUUGAGGGCUGCAAUUCGCCCUCAUGAAGCUGGAAUACGUAGUAAUCGCGGGUCAACAUCCCGCGGUGAAUAUGCCCCUGCUCCUUGCACACACCGCCCGUCAAACCACCUUAGUUGGGUCUGGACGAGGGUUUGUCUUCUGACACGCUCGAAUCUGGGUUCAGCGAGGAGGGUUAAGUCGUAACAAGGUAUCCGUA